ACAGGCCUGAAGCUGAAAAUCCUGAAGAAACUGGAGAAAACAAUGAUGGAAUCAAUCGAACUGUCACUGAAGACGGAUAACCACUCAGUCCCAGAUGUCUCAGAUGAAUUAGAGGCUGUGAAGAAACUCUACGAUAAACUGAAAGGCAGCUCGGCUGAGUAAAUUUCAAACACUGGGUAAAGCUCAGGAAAAUGACUCAUGAUGUUAUUGAUCUUUUUAGGCUGUUGGCUGUAAACUGAUUAUGUCCUCAACAUCGUUUAAACGUGCUUUUAUUAUUUGUGUUCCUCUCUCCAGCAGCUGCUCUGAAAUGUGUAUCUGUUUUAAAGCUGUUGAUUCAAUAAUGUGUGGGUGAUAUCACAGUUUUCUUUUAUUAUAUUUUUUUACAUGUUUUUAAAGUCUCUAUAUAGUCUAUUUUCAAAGAAAAAAUGUGGUUGGGGAGGAUGCAAGUUUCCUGGUUGUAGUCAGUCAGUGACGGUUUCCUUUUCAUCAUGAAGGAAUAAACCACAAAGCCUCAAUCAUAGUCCAAUAAUCCCACUUUUUUAUAUUAGGAUGAUUAUCUUUAUUUAAUUUUAUGUUGAGUAUCUUGGUGUUUAUUCAUUGUGCUUGAGUUACUUUGUUUUAUUAUACAUGUGGAAAUGUAACAAUGGAUUUUGAUUAUAGCACGUAUUUUGUGUUUAGUUUUUAACAUGUAUUUAAGGGGACAAUCACACUGCUGCUAUUUAGUCAGCUUUAAAUGGACCGUGGUUCCACUUCCAUGGAUAGUACAUUUGUUU